ensembl:lncRNA
GUGGAGAAUAAAUAUCUGGUGCUAUGAUUCAACUGAAAAAGCUGGGUAUUCUGAGAUAUUUCAGUGUAAAAGAUCAUGUAAGUGAUUGAAAUGAUAAUUUAUGUUUUGAUAAUACAGCUUGUAGAUAAAAGAUUCAAAAUUUGGUAAGUAGUGCAAACUCUUCACCUCAGUUCUGUUGAACUUCUGUAGUUUAAGGUGAUGACAUGUGACAGGUGAUGAGGAACUAAGCAACAUUAGAAAGACUUUUUGAAUGGGAACAGUCUUUUUUGCUUUUCAGUUAUCAGGCUACCUUGACGUGUUAUAAAUAGCAAGAAUAGAUUGCUAGAUACACUCAGUAGGAAAGAGCGGAGGCAGGACAGGGAAGUAAUAACUUAUAUGAGAUACCAAUCAUAUUUCCAUCAGCAGAAAAUUACUCAUGAUUCAUAAAAGCCUUCUUUAUACUAGAAUACAUUGUUUAGGAUUUUGUUUAAAAAUUAAACAGAACAUCUGACUUCUCAGCAGCUGCAACUUCCUGGCCUGAUUUCCAACGGACAUUCCAUAAAUAAAACAUAUAUUUCAAAGCAUGAAUUCUCUUUAGAAGAACGUAUAGGCAACUUCAGAAGAAUAUUGUUUUUCAGCACAUCAGAGUGAGGCACCUUGCAAAAACAAAUGAGCAAAAGAAAAGAAUCCCUGCAAAAUCCAAAGCAGAAUUUAUGUCAAGAUUGCUGUUCUGAACAGCAGCGUAUGGCAGCACAGUGAAAUUUCAUUCAAUCCACUGUCAGUUAGUAAUCCUUCAAAUAAAGGUAUGCAUUUCACAGUAAACCCUUCUGCAUGGCUUUCAAAGCCUUGCAUGUUAGCAAGAAAAUAUACAGUGCACAACUCAAUAUUAUCCAUGGGAAAAAAAAAAAAAAAAAAAAAAGAAUGCUAGAAGAUAAUCCCUCCAUCACUUUCUUGGCACACGGGGCUAUUUGCACAUACUUUGACCAAUCUCUUCUCUAUUGCCUCUUCUGAAAUGCCAUACAACUCCAUAUUGCAGAGUGUAUCACAGGUGGCCAUAGG